rnacentral:rRNA from 1 species
ACGGGUGAGUAACGCGUGAGUAACCUGCCUUUCAGAGGGGGAUAACGUUCUGAAAAGAACGCUAAUACCGCAUGAGACUACAGAGCUGCAUGGCUCAGUGGUCAAAGGAGCAAUCCGCUGAAAGAUGGACUCGCGUCCGAUUAGAUAGUAGGCGGGGUAACGGCCCACCUAGUCGACGAUCGGUAGCCGGACUGAGAGGUUGAACGGCCACAUUGGGACUGAGACACGGCCCAGACUCCUACGGGAGGCAGCAUG